rnacentral:rRNA from 1 species
AGAGUUUGAUCCUGGCUCAGGAUGAACGCUAGCUACAGGCUUAACACAUGCAAGUCGAGCGGGACCCUUUCGGGGGUCUAGCGGCAAACGGGUGAGUAACACGUAUCCAACCUUUCCCUUACUUGGGGAUAGCCUUUAGAAAUGAAGAGUAAUACCCGAUGUGGUGCGAUUAUCGCAUGUUCAUUGCACCAAAGAUUCAUCGGUAAGGGGUGGGGAUGCGUUCCAUUAGGUAGUAGGCGGGGCAACGGCCCACCUAGCCGAUGAUGGAUAGGGGUUCUGAGAGGAAGGUCCCCCACAUUGGAACUGCGACACGGUCCAAACUCCUACGGGAGGCAGCAGUGAGGAAUAUUGGUCAAUGGACGGAAGUCUGAACCAGCCAAGUCGCGUGAAGGAUGAAGGUAUUAUGUAUUGUAAACUUCUUUAGCAGUGGAGUAAUAAGGGGAUCGUGAUCCCUGAUGCAAGUACACUGAGAAUAAGGAUCGGCUAACUCCGUGCCAGCAGCCGCGGUAAUACGGAGGAUCCGAGCGUUAUCCGGAUUUAUUGGGUUUAAAGGGUGCGCAGGCGGCUUUUUAAGUCAGUGGUUAAAUCGUGACGCUCAACGUCAUCACGCCAUUGAUACUGGAGAGCUUGAUUGCGGUCGAGGUUUGCGGAAUUCGUUGUGUAGCGGUGAAAUGCAUAGAUAUGACGAAGAACACCGAUUGCGUAGGCAGCAGACCAGGCCGUAAAUGACGCUCAUGCACGAAAGUGCGGGGAUCGAACAGGAUUAGAUACCCUGGUAGUCCGCACAGUAAACGAUGAAUACUUGUUCUUGGCGAUAUACAGUCAGGGGCAAAGCGAAAGCGAUAAGUAUUCCACCUGGGGAGUACGCCGGCAACGGUGAAACUCAAAGGAAUUGACGG